rnacentral:rRNA from 1 species
GACGAACGCUGGCGGCGUGCUUAACACAUGCAAGUCGAACGGAAAGGCCCUGCUUUUGUGGGGUGCUCGAGUGGCGAACGGGUGAGUAACACGUGAGUAACCUGCCCUUGACUUUGGGAUAACUUCAGGAAACUGGGGCUAAUACCGGAUAGGAGCUCCUGCUGCAUGGUGGGGGUUGGAAAGUUUCGGCGGUUGGGGAUGGACUCGCGGCUUAUCAGCUUGUUGGUGGGGUAGUGGCUUACCAAGGCUUUGACGGGUAGCCGGCCUGAGAGGGUGACCGGCCACAUUGGGACUGAGAUACGGCACAGACUCCUACGGGAGGCAGCAGUGGGGAAUAUUGCACAAUGGGCGGAAGCAUGAUGCAGCAACGCCGCGUGCGGGAUGACGGCCUUCGGGUAGUAAACGGCUUUCGCCUGUGACGAAGCGUGAGUGAAGGUAAUGGGUAAAGAAGCACCGGCGAACUACGG